rnacentral:rRNA from 1 species
UACGUAGGCGGAAAAUUAAGUCAGUAGUGAAAUCCUGCAGCUUAACUGUAGAACUGUUAUUGAUACUGGUUUUCUUGAAUAUAGUUGAGGUAGGCGGAAUGUGUAAUGUAGCGGUGAAAUGCUUAGAUAUUACACAGAACACCGAUUGCGAAGGCAGCUUACUAAGCUAUUAUUGACGCUGAGGUACGAAAGCGUGGGGAGCGAACAGGAUUAGAUACCCUGGUAGUCC